rnacentral:rRNA from 1 species
UACAGAGGGGGCGAGCGUUGUUCGGAAUUACUGGGCGUAAAGGGCGCGUAGGCGGCCUUCUAAGUCGGACGUGAAAUCCCCGGGCUCAACCCGGGAACUGCGUCCGAUACUGGGAGGCUUGAGUCCGGGAGAGGGAUGUGGAAUUCCAGGUGUAGCGGUGAAAUGCGUAGAUAUCUGGAGGAACACCGGUGGCGAAGGCGGCAUCCUGGACCGGUAUUGACGCUGAGGCGCGAAAGCCAGGGGAGCAAACGGG